AUUGAACGCUGGCGGCAGGCCUAACACAUGCAAGUCGAGCGGAUGAAGGGAGCUUGCUCCUGGAUUCAGCGGCGGACGGGUGAGUAAUGCCUAGGAAUCUGCCUGGUAGUGGGGGAUAACGUCCGGAAACGGGCGCUAAUACCGCAUACGUCCUGAGGGAGAAAGUGGGGGACCUUCGGACCUCCGGCUACCGGAUGGGCCUAGGUCGGAUUAGCUGGUUGGUGGGGUAAAGGCCUACCAAGGCGACGAUCCGUAACUGGUCUGAGAGGAUGAUCAGUCACACUGGAACUGAGACACGGUCCAGACUCCUACGGGAGGCAGCAGUGGGGAAUAUUGGACAAUGGGCGAAAGCCUGAUCCAGCCAUGCCGCGUGUGUGAAGAAGGUCUUCGGAUUGUAAAGCACUUUAAGUUGGGAGGAAGGGCAGUAAGUUAAUACCUUGCUGUUUUGACGUUACCAACAGAAUAAGCACCGGCUAACUUCGUG
rnacentral:rRNA from 1 species